GUCAUCAGAACAGAUGCCCCAAGACAUGCACGAUCUAAGUAAAUAGACUGGAAAUUAGGCCAUUCAAGGAUGGUUAAGGAAAUGGCUGUGUCUGUAUGGAGAAGCAGAUGUGGUCUCCAGGUUUUGUGUGUGUGUGUGUUGUUUUGUUUGUCUGUUUUUCAGGGAGACACAAAUGCAUUCACGUGGAAUAGAGCAAGUAUGGAAUUUGAAGUCAAAGCCCAUCUGGCUUUCAGCAAGUGGAUUCAACUCUGAGCCUUCUUUGGUCAAGGAGGCUGCAAUGGCCAUAAUGGAAGGCUCACUGUGGAUACAACAGGUGGUUCUACUCUGCCUGCUCAGCAGGAGAGAGCGUGACAAGGGACAGAGUGACCUUCCCCAGGAGUCCAUGGUCAUGGGUUAGAUGCACAUGCAGUAAAAGCCCUCGAAACCUUCAAGGAACUAAGUGCAAAUGAAUACAAGGUGGACCAAGCACGCGAGAAGACACGCAGCCUUCAGUCCCUCCAGGCCCCAGGGAGUGUUCAGCCAUUUAUGACAGCUCCAGACUUUCCCCAGUCAAUAAACAGAAACAGAAACCA